rnacentral:rRNA from 1 species
UAGGGAAUCUUCGGCAAUGGACGAAAGUCUGACCGAGCAACGCCGCGUGAGUGAAGAAGGUUUUCGGAUCGUAAAACUCUGUUGUUAGAGAAGAACAAGGACGUUAGUAACUGAACGUCCCCUGACGGUAUCUAACCAGAAAGCCACGGCUAACUACGUGCCAGCAGCCGCGGUAAUACGUAGGUGGCAAGCGUUGUCCGGAUUUAUUGGGCGUAAAGCGAGCGCAGGCGGUUUCUUAAGUCUGAUGUGAAAGCCCCCGGCUCAACCGGGGAGGGUCCUUGGAAACUGUGUGACUUUAGUGCAGAAGAGUAUGGUGCAAUUCCAUGUGUAGCAGUGCAAUGCGUAGAUAUAUGGAGGAACACCAGUGGCGAAGGCGGCUCUCUGGUCUGUAACUGACGCUGAGGUUCGAAAGCGUGCUGAGCAAACAGG